CUACAUCCUGUGUUUUCAGGCCUCGCUAGCAGAUGCUAUUUUAAACAUACUUCCUUCGUGAGCAGUGGAUUAAGAAGUACAUCUUAGAAAAGGAUUUAGUUGUCUGCAUUGUCUGGAUGGAUCACAACAACCCAGAGAUACUGAAAGAUCCUGGUGGAGAGCCUCGUCUGACAGACCGGGACAAUUCUUUCUGUCCGGAAAAGGAGCAGACGAGAUGCAGUUCCUGCAUGGUGAACCGAAGGAGCUGACUGCUA